CAAGCUCGUACCCCGCGUGACAGCGGAAUGUCGCGAUCCAUACCCACAUAAGUGACACACCUAAAAAAAGGAGUCGAAUGUGGAUAUCGAAUUUAAGGGUACUUUUACCAUGGUAGCCCUCUCGAUAGUACGCUUCACCCAUUAGGAUGGCAUCACUCCAUCCUUUGGGCUACUCCCACAUCAAGUAUGCUAAACCAUAGUGAGUUUCAUCGAAACUCAUACCCCGCGUGACAACGGAUUUAUUUAUACGAUCUACUUAUUUAUGACAACCUAAAAAUAGACGGGAGUCGCUACUAGCCUUAACUUUGGGGGUCGGCUAGAAACCCAAUCGAGGGUCGGGAGUGUUCCCUCGAUUCCUACGCAACCAGAUAUCUAGGUUCGAGGACUUGGGUUACGCUAAUAUUGCUAUUAGCGCCCUUUCGGUACCUAAACAGUAUGUUGUAUUUUUCCUAAUAUGUCCAUGCGUUUCUUUUUACAUUUUCGGGAUCAUCAAUUCCUAGGCUAAGUGAUCAUGCGUGGUUGAUCAUUUUCAUGCUAUUCUAUUUCUAAAAAAAAAUGAAAAGAAAACAAUCAAUGAAAUUGAAAGUGCAAGACAUGAAGUAAACAAUCAAGAGA
rnacentral:lncRNA from 1 species